CAAUAGCGUAUAUUAACGUUGCUGCAGUUAAAAAGCUCGUAGUUGGAUUUCUGGAGGGAGCGUCGGCCCGUAUUUACGAGUGCGUGACGUCUCUGUCCAUCCUUGCGGGAAGGCACGGCAUUGAUUUGUUGUGUCGGAUCGCAUCAUUUACUGUGAAAAAAUUAGAGUGUUCAAAGCAGGCUUUCGCUUGAAUACAUUAGCAUGGAAUAAUAAGAUAGGACUUUGGUGCUGUUUUGUUGGUUGAGCCUAAAGUAAUGAUUAAUAGGGAUAGUUGGGGGCACCUGUAUUGCGUUGUCAGAGGUGAAAUUCUUGGAUUUACGCAAGACAAACAGCUGCGAAAGCGUCUGCCAAGGAUGUUUUCAUUAA
rnacentral:rRNA from 1 species